GGGUUCAGAACGUCGUGAGACAGUUCGGUCCCUAUCCGUCGCAGGCGUAGGAAAUUUGAGAAGACCUGUCCUUAGUACGAGAGGACCGGGAUGGACGUACCUCUGGUGUACCAGUUGUUCUGCCAAGGGCAUGGCUGGGUAGCUAUGUACGGAAUGGAUAAGCGCUGAAAGCAUCUAAGCGCGAAGCCAACUUCAAGAUAAGAUUUCCCACCGCAAGGGUAAGACCCCAGAAAGACUAUCUGGUUG
rnacentral:rRNA from 1 species